rnacentral:rRNA from 1 species
AGAUAAGCUGGUGAUGAGCAUAAUUCUUGCAAGUCGAGCGAAUGGAUUAAGAGCUUGCUCUUAUGAAGUUAGCGGCGGACGGGUGAGUAACACGUGGGUAACCUGCCCAUAAGACUGGGAUAACUCCGGGAAACCGGGGCUAAUACCGGAUAACAUUUUGAACUGCAUGGUUCGAAAUUGAAAGGCGGCUUCGGCUGUCACUUAUGGAUGGACCCGCGUCGCAUUAGCUAGUUGGUGAGGUAACGGCUCACCAAGGCAACGAUGCGUAGCCGACCUGAGAGGGUGAUCGGCCACACUGGGACUGAGACACGGCCCAGACUCCUACGGGAGGCAGCAGUAGGGAAUCUUCCGCAAUGGACGAAAGUCUGACGGAGCAACGCCGCGUGAGUGAUGAAGGCUUUCGGGUCGUAAAACUCUGUUGUUAGGGAAGAACAAGUGCUAGUUGAAUAAGCUGGCACCUUGACGGUACCUAACCAGAAAGCCACGGCUAACUACGUGCCAGCAGCCGCGGUAAUACGUAGGUGGCAAGCGUUAUCCGGAAUUAUUGGGCGU